AGAGCGAACGCUGGCGGCAGGCCUAACACAUGCAAGUCGAACGGAUCCUUCGGGAUUAGUGGCGGACGGGUGAGUAACACGUGGGAACGUGCCUUUUGGUUCGGAACAACUCAGGGAAACUUGAGCUAAUACCGGAUGUGCCCUUCGGGGGAAAGAUUUAUCGCCAUUAGAGCGGCCCGCGUCUGAUUAGCUAGUUGGUGAGGUAAAGGCCCACCAAGGCAACGAUCAGUAGCUGGUCUGAGAGGAUGAUCAGCCACAUUGGGACUGAGACACGGCCCAAACUCCUACGGGAGGCAGCAGUGGGGAAUCUUGCGCAAUGGGCGAAAGCCUGACGCAGCCAUGCCGCGUGAAUGAUGAAGGUCUUAGGAUUGUAAAAUUCUUUCACCGGGGACGAUAAUGACGGUACCCGGAGAAGAAGCCCGGCUAACUUCGUGCCAGCAGCCGC
rnacentral:rRNA from 1 species